rnacentral:rRNA from 1 species
AGUGAACCCUGGCGGUAGGCCUAACACAUGCAAGUCGAACGGCAGCACAGUAAGAGCUUGCUCUUACGGGUGGCGAGUGGCGGACGGGUGAGGAAUACAUCGGAAUCUACUUUUUCGUGGGGGUUAACGUAGGGAAACUUACGCUAAUACCGCAUACGACCUACGGGUGAAAGCAGGGGAUCUUCGGACCUUGCGCGAUUGAAUGAGCCGAUGUCGGAUUAGCUAGUUGGCGGGGUAAAGGCCCACCAAGGCGACGAUCCGUAGCUGGUCUGAGAGGAUGAUCAGCCACACUGGAACUGAGACACGGUCCAGACUCCUACGGGAGGCAGCAGUGGGGAAUAUUGGACAAUGGGCGCAAGCCUGAUCCAGCCAUACCGCGUGGGUGAAGAAGGCCUUCGGGUUGUAAAGCCCUUUUGUUGGGAAAGAAAAGCAGCAGGCUAAUACCCCGCUGUUCUGACGGUACCCAAAGAAUAAGCACCGGCUAACUUCGUG